GAGAGAGACAUGCGCGCAUAUCAAUAAGCGGAGGAAAAGUAAACUAACAAGGAUUCCCUUAGUAACGGCGAGUGAAGCGGGAAGAGCUCAAAUUUGAAAUCUUCAAGGUUCUACCUUGACGAAUUGUAGUUUAUAGAAGUGUUUUCUGUUAGUGGAGUGGCAAAAGUUCUUUGGAAUAGGACAUCAUAGAGGGUGAGAAUCCCGUAUUUGGUCAUUCCUCCUAGCGUUGUGAUACACUUUCAACGAGUCGGAUUGUUUGGGAAUGCAGUCCAAAAUGGGUGGUAAAUUUCAUCUAAAGCUAAAUAUUGGCGAGAGACCGAUAGCGAACAAGUACCGUGAGGGAAAGAUGAAAAGAACUUUGAAAAGAGAGUUAAACAGUACGUGAAAUUGUCAAAAGGGAAGCGUUUGACACCAGUGUUGUUUUUCCGAGAAUCAAUUACGAAUGUUUUGUUUUUGAGGAGUUAUGACUUCAUCGGCUUGCUCCUUUCUUUACGAAACUUUCUUAAUGCACUUUUCGGUUAACAAGUCAACAUCAAUUUCUUUUGUUGUAAAAGGGUAUGAGGAAGGUGGCUUUCUUUUCGGAGAAAGUGUUUAUAGCCUUGUACCUCUGCAAUCGGAGAGAUUGAGGUCUGCAGCGUAGAUCCUUCGGGGUUAGAUACAUUUGUGCUAAGUUAUAGCUUUUCAUAGACAACUUGUUGACUAUGUUUAGUCUUGUAGCUUACUCGCUUAUGCUAUUUUACCUACGCUUAGGAUGUUGAUCUGUAGUGCGUGCGC
rnacentral:rRNA from 1 species